UACGAAGGGGGCUAGCGUUGUUCGGAAUUACUGGGCGUAAAGCGCACGUAGGCGGGUAUUUAAGUCAGGGGUGAAAUCCCCAGAGCUCAACUCUGGAACUGCCUUUGAUACUGGGUACCCAGAGUAUGGAAGAGGUAAGUGGAAUUCCGAGUGUAGAGGUGAAAUUCGUAGAUAUUCGGAGGAACACCAGUGGCGAAGGCGGCUUCUGGUCCAUUACUGACGCUGAGGUGCGAAAGCGUGGGGAGCAAACAGG
rnacentral:rRNA from 1 species